rnacentral:tRNA from 1 species
GGCCUUGUGGCGAGUCUGUGGCGAUAUCUUUCUAACUUGUUGCUAUCAAAUGAAAUUAUGCUGCCUUCUAAGCAGGGGGUUGCAGGUUCGAUUCCUGCCGGGGUCGCCA